rnacentral:rRNA from 1 species
UACGAGAGCCUCGAGCGUUAUCCGGAAUUAUUGGGCGUAAAGGGUGUGUAGGCGGACGUAUUAGUCCUGUGUCAAAGCCUUCCCGCUUAACGGGAAGAUCGCAUGGGAAACGGUACGACUAGGAGGGUGCGAGAGGUGAAUGGAACUCACGGUGUAGGGGUGAAAUCCGUUGAUAUCGUGGGGAACGCCAAAAGCGAAGGCAAUUCACUGGCGCAUACCUGACGCUGAAACACGAAAGCCAGGGUAUCGAAUGGG